CACGUAGGGUGCGAGCGUUGUCCGGAAUUAUUGGGCGUAAAGAGCUCGUAGGCGGUGUGUCGCGUCGGCCGUGAAAACUUGCAGCUUAACUGUGGGCGUGCGGUCGAUACGGGCAUCACUGGAGUUCGGCAGGGGAGACUGGAAUUCCUGGUGUAGCGGUGAAAUGCGCAGAUAUCAGGAGGAACACCGGUGGCGAAGGCGGGUCUCUGGGCCGAUACCGACGCUGAGGAGCGAAAGCGUGGGGAGCGAACAGG
rnacentral:rRNA from 1 species